rnacentral:rRNA from 1 species
CCUACGGGAGGCAGCAGUGAGGAAUAUUGCACAAUGGGGGAAAGUCUGAAGCAGCGACGCCGCGUGAGUGAAGACGUAUUUCGGGAUGUAAAGCUCUAUCAGCAGGGAAGAAAAUGACGGUACCUGAGUAAGAAGCCCCGGCUAACUACGUGCCAGCAGCGCCGGUAAUACGCAGGGGGCAAGCGUUAUCCGGAUUUAAUGGGUGUAAAGGGAACUUAGACGGCAGCACAAGUCUGGAGUGAAAUGCCGGGGAUUAACCCCGGAACUGCUUUUGAAACUGUGCAGCUAGAGUGCAGGAGAGGUAAGUGGAAUUCCUAGUGUAGCGGUGAAAUGCGUAGAUAUGAGGAGGAACACCAGUUGCGAAGGCGGCUUACUGGACUGUAACUGACGUUGAGGCUCGAAAGCGUGGGGAGCAAACAGGAUUAGAUACCCCGGUAGUC